UACAGAGGGUGCGAGCGUUUAAUCGGAAUUACUGGGCGUAAAGCGUGCGUAGACGGUUUCGUAAGUCGGGUGUGAAAGCCCCGGGCUCAACCUGGGAAUUGCAUUCGAGACUGCGUAGCUAGGGUGCGGAAGAGGGAAGCGGAAUUUCCGGUGUAGCGGUGAAAUGCGUAGAUAUCGGAAGGAACAUCAGUGGCGAAAGCGGCUUCCUGGUCCAGCACCGACGUCAGGCACGAAAGCGUGGGGAGCAAACAGG
rnacentral:rRNA from 1 species